CGUGUAGUUUGUAGUCUAGCAGACCAAAUAGUUUUGGCGAAGGUCUGCCAGACUACAAACUACA
ensembl:ncRNA Y59A8B.28 ncRNA